UACGAAGGGGGCUAGCGUUGCUCGGAUUUACUGGGCGUAAAGGGCGCGUAGGCGGACAGUUAAGUUGGGGGUGAAAGCCCGGGGCUCAACCUCGGAAUUGCCUUCAAUACUGGCUGUCUUGAGUGUGAGAGAGGUGUGUGGAACUCCGAGUGUAGAGGUGAAAUUCGUAGAUAUUCGGAAGAACACCAGUGGCGAAGGCGGAUCUCUGGGCCGAUACUGACGCUGAGGAGCGAAAGCGUGGGGAGCGAACAGG
rnacentral:rRNA from 1 species